GAUGAACGCUGGCGGCGUGCUUAACACAUGCAAGUCGAACGGAAAGGCCCCUGCUUGCUGGGGUGCUCGAGUGGCGAACGGGUGAGUAACACGUGGGUGAUCUGCCCUGCACUUUGGGAUAAGUCUGGGAAACUGGGUCUAAUACCGGAUAGGACGAUGGUCUGGAUGCCAUUGUGGAAAGAUUUUGCGGUGUGGGAUGGGCUCGCGGCCUAUCAGCUUGUUGGUGGGGUAGUGGCCUACCAAGGCGUCGACGGGUAGCCGGCCUGAGAGGGUGUACGGCCACAUUGGGACUGAGAUACGGCCCAGACUCCUACGGGAGGCAGCAGUGGGGAAUAUUGCACAAUGGGCGGAAGCCCGAUGCAGCGACGCCGCGUGGGGGAUGACGGCCUUCGGGUUGUAAACUCCUUUCGCUAGGGACGAAGCGCGAGUGACGGUACCUGGUGAAGAAGCACCGGCUAACUACGUG
rnacentral:rRNA from 1 species